UACGAAGGGGGCUAGCGUUGCUCGGAAUUACUGGGCGUAAGGGCGCGCAGGCGGCGAUCCAAGUCAGGCGUGAAAGCCCCGGGCUUAACCUGGGAAUUGCGCUUGAGACUGGUUUGCUUGAGUUCGGGAGAGGUGAGUGGAAUUCCCAGUGUAGAGGUGAAAUUCGUAGAUAUUGGGAAGAACACCGGUGGCGAAGGCAGCUCGCUGGGACGGUACUGACGCUGAGACGCGAAAGCGUGGGGGGCAAACAGG
rnacentral:rRNA from 1 species